rnacentral:rRNA from 1 species
CCUACGGGAGGCAGCAGUAAGGAAUAUUGGACAAUGGCCGCAAGGCUGAUCCAGCCAUGCCGCGUGCAGGAUGAAGGUGCUCUGCAUUGUAAACUGCUUUUGUUUGGGAAUAAACCCCCGCACGUGUGCGGGGCUGAAUGUACCAAAAGAAUAAGGGACGGCUAACUUCGUGCCAGCAGCCGCGGUAAUACGAAGGUCCCAAGCGUUAUCCGGAUUUAUUGGGUUUAAAGGGUGCGUAGGCGGGUUAUUAAGUCAGUGGUGAAAGCCUACAGCUUAACUGUAGAAUUGCCAUUGAUACUGGUAAUCUUGAGUAUGAUUGAGGUGGGCGGAAUGUGUCAUGUAGCGGUGAAAUGCCUAGAUAUGACACAGAACACCGAUUGCGAAGGCAGCUCACUAAGUCAUAACUGACGCUGAUGCACGAAAGCGUGGGGAGCAAACAGGAUUAGAUACCCUGGUAGUCCACGCCCUAAACGAUGAUCACUCGAUGUGUGCGAUACACUGUACGCGUCUGAGCGAAAGCAUUAAGUGAUCCACCUGGGGAGUACGACCGCAAGGUUGAAACUCAAAGGAAUUGACGG